CAUUAGGUAGUAGGCGGGGCAACGGCCCACCUAGCCUGCGAUGGAUAGGGGUUCUGAGAGGAAGGUCCCCCACAUUGGAGCUGAGACACGGUCCAAACUCCUACGGGAGGCAGCAGUGAGGAAUAUUGGUCAAUGGGCGAGAGCCUGAACCAGCCAAGUAGCGUGAAGGAUGAAGGUCCUACGGAUUGUAAACUUCUUUUAUACGGGAAUAAAGUUUCCUACGUGUAGGAUUUUGUAUGUACCGUAUGAAUAAGCAUCGGCUAACUCCGUGCCAGCAGCCGCGGUAAUACGGAGGAUGCGAGCGUUAUCCGGAUUUAUUGGGUUUAAAGGGAGCGCAGACGGGAGAUUAAGUCAGUUGUGAAAGUUUGCGGCUCAACCGUAAAAUUGCAGUUGAUACUGGUUUCCUUGAGUGCAGUUGAGGCAGGCGGAAUUCGUGGUGUAGCGGUGAAAUGCUUAGAUAUCACGAAGAACCCCGAUUGCGAAGGCAGCUUGCUAAACUGUAACUGACGUUCAUGCUCGAAAGUGUGGGUAUCAAACAGGAUUAGAUACCCUGGUAGUCCACACGGUAAACGAUGGAUACUCGCUAUUGGCGAUAUACUGUCAGCGGCCAAGCGAAAGCAUUAAGUAUCCCACCUGGGGAGUACGCCGGCAACGGUGCAACUCAAAGGAAUUGACGG
rnacentral:rRNA from 1 species